rnacentral:pre_miRNA from 1 species
UGCAUAAAUAUCCAAAGUAGUGGACGUAAUUUAUCGUGAGCCAACUAUAGAUAUUAUGCUCAUUACUUUGGAUAUGUUGUG